UACGGAGGAUGCGAGCGUUAUCCGGAUUUAUUGGGUUUAAAGGGUGCGUAGGCGGGCUUUUAAGUCAGCGGUAAAAAUUCGGGGCUCAACCCCGUCCGGCCGUUGAAACUGGGGGCCUUGAGUGGGCGAGAAGAAGGCGGAAUGCGUGGUGUAGCGGUGAAAUGCAUAGAUAUCACGCAGAACCCCGAUUGCGAAGGCAGCCUUCCGGCGCCCCACUGACGCUGAGGCACGAAAGUGCGGGGAUCGAACAGG
rnacentral:rRNA from 1 species